rnacentral:rRNA from 13 species
UUCGGAUUGUAGGCUGCAACUCGCCUACAUGAAGUCGGAAUCGCUAGUAAUCGCGGAUCAGCAUGUCGCGGUGAAUACGUUCCCGGGUCUUGUACACACCGCCCGUCACACCAUGGGAAUUUGUUGCACCAGAAGUAGGUAGUCUAACCGCAAGGAGGACGCUUACCACGGUGUGGCCGAUGACUGGGGUGAAGUCGGAACAA